GACGAACGCUGGCGGCGUGCUUAACACAUGCAAGUCGAACGAUGAACUGGGUGCUUGCACCUGGGGAUUAGUGGCGAACGGGUGAGUAACACGUGAGUAACCUGCCCUGGACUCUGGGAUAACCCCGAGAAAUCGGAGCUAAUACCGGAUAGGACCUUGCACCGCAUGGUGUGGGGUGGAAAGGUUUUCGGUCUGGGAUGGACUCGCGGCCUAUCAGCUUGUUGGUGAGGUAAUGGCUCACCAAGGCGUCGACGGGUAGCCGGCCUGAGAGGGUGACCGGCCACACUGGGACUGAGACACGGCCCAGACUCCUACGGGAGGCAGCAGUGGGGAAUAUUGCACAAUGGGCGCAAGCCUGAUGCAGCAACGCCGCGUGCGGGAUGACGGCCUUCGGGUUGUAAACCGCUUUUAGUAAGGAAGAAGGGGCCUUUGGGUCUUGACGGUACUUGCAGAAAAAGGACCGGCUAACUACGUGCCAGCAGCCGCAGUAAGAC
rnacentral:rRNA from 1 species